rnacentral:snRNA from 2 species
GUGCUCACUUCGGCAGCACAUAUACUAAGAUUGGAACGAUAUAGAGAAGAUUAGCAUGGCCCCUGUGCAAGGAUGACACGCAAAUUCGUGAAGCAUUCCAUAUUUUU